UACGAAGGGGGCUAGCGUUGUUCGGAAUUACUGGGCGUAAAGGGCGCGUAGGCGGUGUGUCAAGUCAGGCGUGAAAGCCCCGGGCUCAACCUGGGAACAGCGCUUGAGACUGGCACGCUCGAGUUCGGGAGAGGAUGGUGGAAUUCCCAGUGUAGAGGUGAAAUUCGUAGAUAUUGAAGAACACCGAUGGCGAAGGCAGCCAUCUGGACCGACACUGACGCUGAGGCGCGAAAGCGUGGGGAGCGAACAGG
rnacentral:rRNA from 1 species